GAUGAACGCUGGCGGCGUGCCUAAUACAUGCAAGUCGAGCGGACAGACGAUGAUCUUGUGCCGUUGACGUUUGCGGCGGGCGGGUGAGUAACGCGUGUAUAACCUACCUAUAAGUCGGGGAUAACUUCGGGAAACGGGAUCUAAUACCGUAUGACAUGCUGAACCGCAGGGUGCAACAGUAAAUGACGGUCUUGCGGUCACUGAUAGAUGGAUCCGCGCCUCAUUAGCUGGUUGGUGAGGUAACGGCCUACCAAGGCAACGAUGCGUAUACGAGCUGAGCGGCGGGUCGCCCACCCUGGAACGGAGACACGGACCAGACUCCUACGGGACGCAGCAGUAGCGAAUAUGCGGCAAUGGGCGAAAUCAUGACGGAGCAACGCCGAGUGAGUGAAGAAGGCCUUCGGAUCGUAAAGCCCUCUUAUUAGGGAAGAACAGAUGUCUACGUAAAUGUGGCCGUAUUGACGGUACCGAAUAAAAAAGCACCGGCUAACUACGUG
rnacentral:rRNA from 1 species